AGCGAACGCUGGCGGCAGGCCUAACACAUGCAAGUCGAGCGCGCCCUUCGGGGUGAGCGGCGGACGGGUGAGUAACGCGUGGGAACGUGCCCUUCUCUGCGGAAUAGCCUCGGGAAACUGAGAGUAAUACCGCAUACGCCCUUUGGGGGAAAGAUUUAUCGGAGAAGGAUCGGCCCGCGUUGGAUUAGGUAGUUGGUGGGGUAAUGGCUCACCAAGCCGACGAUCCAUAGCUGGUUUGAGAGGAUGAUCAGCCACACUGGGACUGAGACACGGCCCAGACUCCUACGGGAGGCAGCAGUGGGGAAUCUUAGACAAUGGGGGCAACCCUGAUCUAGCCAUGCCGCGUGAGUGAUGAAGGCCUUAGGGUUGUAAAGCUCUUUCAGCUGGGAAGAUAAUGACGGUACCAGCAGAAGAAGCCCCGGCUAACUCCGUGCCAGCCGCCGCCGUAAUAC
rnacentral:rRNA from 1 species